rnacentral:rRNA from 1 species
GACGAACGCUGGCGGCGUGCCUAAUACAUGCAAGUAGAACGCCGAAGGAGGAGCUUGCUUCUCUGGAUGAGUUGCGAACGGGUGAGUAACGCGUAGGUAACCUGCCUGGUAGCGGGGGAUAACUAUUGGAAACGAUAGCUAAUACCGCAUAAUAGCAGUUAUUGCAUGAUAACUGUUUGAAAGGUGCAAUUGCACCACUACCAGAUGGACCUGCGUUGUAUUAGCUAGUUGGUGGGGUAACGGCUCACCAAGGCGACGAUACAUAGCCGACCUGAGAGGGUGAUCGGCCACACUGGGACUGAGACACGGCCCAGACUCCUACGGGAGGCAGCAGUAGGGAAUCUUCGGCAAUGGACGGAAGUCUGACCGAGCAACGCCGCGUGAGUGAAGAAGGUUUUCGGAUCGUAAAGCCCUGUUGUAAGAGAAGAACGAGUGUGAGAGUGGAAAGUUCACACU